GGUCCAGAUGUAGCCAUUGAGUCAUCUGAGAAAUGGUUUGUGUUUGGGGACCUUGUUAAUGAUAAUUGCUAUGCAGGUUAGGGUUAGACUAAUUACAGACUGACGAUGCAAUGAUCUAAAUUGGCUAUUAAGAUAGAAAUAAACUUACCAAGCCGAAGACAGGCUUUAAAAUGAAAAUUAAAAUCUGUGUUUUAAGCUUUAAUUAGCAUAUAUAUUGAUGUCAUUAUAACAAAGAAAAUAUUUAUGACCUGGUUAUGAUGCAAAGAGCUUUGAACCAGGAGGCCACCAACGUUCUACUCCAAACGUCAUCACUAACUCACCAUGUAACCUCGGAAAAUGCCUAGCUGCUCUGUUCUUCAGUUGCAACAUUUAUGAAAUGGAAUUCUUCCAUUUAUACCACACGUAUGUGCUAUCGGCUGGUAGACAACACUGUGCUAGACCCUGGGGUGGCAACAGACAGCAAACCUCACUGAGCCCCAUUCUGAUGGAGGGGGCAGACAAUAGGCAACUGUAGAAGUAUGUGACACAAUACACUAGAAGGGGACAGGUGCCAUGGAGAAAAGUGAACCACAAAAGUGCAAGAAGGAGCAAUGGAGUGGGGGGUGCAGUUUUAAAUAAGGAAGUCAACAAGGAGGCCUUGUUGAGAGAAAAACAUCUGAACAGAGUUGAAGGAGAUGAGAACAAGAUAUGCCAACCCCUGGGAAAAGACUAUUCCAGGUGGAGGGAAUACUAUGAACAGAUCCAGUGACAUGGAAACUUGCCUGGUCUGCUGUAGGGAGAGCAAGGAAGCCCCUGAGACCGAAGCAGAGAGUUGGAGAACGGGAGAGGAAGUCAGAGAUGUGACGGAGGCCAGGGCAUAGGGCCUGGAAGCCCAGGAUGGGGACUUUGGCUUUUACUCUGAUCUUGAUGCAGCGGGGAAUUUUAAGCAGAAGAGGAGGAUGAUCUGACUUUUGUUUUAAAAAGGCUCACUCUGGCUGCUGUGUGGAGCAUGGGCUGUAGGAGACAAAAACAGAAGAAGAGACACCAGGAAAAGGUACUGAUGGGAAACAAGAAAAAUUGUAAAGUGGAAUGACAAGGCAACCUGGUCAAUAUGUGGAGAGCUUGGAUUUGAGCUGCUACUUGCAUUGCUUACAGUUUCCAUCCGUGAUGAUUUGGUCUGAGAUUGUUUGCCUGCUGAUGAAA